rnacentral:sRNA from 1 species
CGCUCCGCCUCCCUCGGCCUUAGCUAGAAGUCGAAACAAAACAAGCGCUAAGGCGGUGGCGGCGGCGCCGGGACGGGGGAGGGGCGCGCCGGAACCGGAACCGACCUGACGCCGGAACCGGAACGGAGAGCGGGUUGCCAGGGCCCGAAGAGGGCUGGCUGCGGCGGUCUCGCUCGGCUGUCCGUUCCUUGCUGGAGAAUUUGGCCACAAAGAGUUGCCAAGAUAGCUGGGCCAGGAAGAAAGCGCCGCAGCCCUGACCCAGACGCUGUUGCCGACCCCGGGGCACUCUGGCUGUCGACCAAGCGGCUCAAGAUGUCUGGCGGGGCCAGUGCCACAGGCCCAAGGAGAGGGCCCCCAGGACUGGAGGACACCACUAGUAAGAAGAAGCAGAAGGAUCGAGCAAACCAGGAGAGCAAGGAUGGAGGUCCUAGGAAAGAGACAGGGUCUCGAUAUGUUGCCCAGGCUGGUCUUGAACUUCUGGCCUCAGGUGAUCCUUCUGCCUCAGCCUCCCAUGCAGCUGGGAUCACAGGCUCACGCCACCAUACCCGGCUGUUCUUUCCUUCAUCAUCAGGGUCAGCAUCCACUCCUCAAGAGGAGCAGACCAAAGAGGAGUUGUUGCUCGAUUGGAGGCAGAGUGCAGAAGAGGUGAUUGUCAAGCUUCGUGUGGGAGUAGGUCCCCUGCAGCUGGAGGAUGUAGAUGCUGCUUUCACAGAUACGGACUGUGUGGUGCGGUUUGCAGGUGGUCAGCAGUGGGGUGGUGUCUUCUAUGCUGAGAUAAAAAGCUCUUGUGCUAAAGUGCAAACCGGCAAGGGCAGUCUCCUGCACCUGACACUGCCCAAAAAGGUGCCUAUGCUCACGUGGCCCUCCCUCCUGGUGAGUUCUAGUAGUCCAGGGUUGGGUAGGGAUACCAGUGUAGUCGACAGGGCCUGACUGCUGUAUCUUUGGCAGAAGAAACCUCUAGGGACCCAGGAGCUGGUGCCGGGGCUGCAGUGCCAGGAGAAUGGGCAGGAACUGUCUCCCAUUGCCCUGGAGCCAGGCCCUGAGCCCCACCGGGCUAAGCAGGAGGCCCGGAACCAGAAGCGGGCCCAGGGCCGUGGUGAGGUAGGCUCAGGGGCUGGCCCCGGGGCCCAGGCAGGGCCCAGCGCCAAGAGGGCUGUGCAUCUCUGCAGAGGGCCAGAGGGGGACGGGUCC